rnacentral:rRNA from 1 species
UACAGAGGUGGCAAGCGUUGUUCGGAAUUACUGGGCGUAAAGGGCGAGUAGGCGGCCUUCUAAGUCAGACGUGAAAUCCCCCGGCUUAACCUGGGAACUGCGUCUGAUACUGGGAGGCUAGAGUAUGGGAGAGGAAGGUAGAAUUCCAGGUGUAGCGGUGAAAUGCGCAGAUAUCAGGAGGAACACCGGUGGCGAAGGCGGAUCUCUGGGCCUUACCUGACGCUGAGGCGCGAAAGCUAGGGGAGCGAACAGG